rnacentral:rRNA from 1 species
GAUGAACGCUGGCGGCGUGCCUAAUACAUGUAAGUCGAGCGAAUGGAUUAAGAGCUUGCUCUUAUGAAGUUAGCGGCGGACGGGUGAGUAACACGUGGGUAACCUGCCCAUAAGACUAGGAUAACUCCGGGAAACCGGGGCUAAUACCGCAUAACAUUUUGAACCGCAUGGUUCGAAAUUGAAAGGCGGCUUCGGCUGUCACUUAUGGAUGGACCCGCGUCGCAUUAGCUAGUUGGGGAGGUAACGGCUCACCAAGGCAACGAUGCGUAGCCGACCUGAGAGGGUGAUCGGCCACACUGGGACUGAGACACGGCCCAGACUCCUACGGGAGGCAGCAGUAGGGAAUCUUCCGCAAUGGACGAAAGUCUGACGGAGCAACGCCGCGUGAGUGAUGAAGGCUUUCGGGUCGUAAAACUCUGUUGUUAGGGAAGAACAAGUGCUAGUUGAAUAAGCUGGCACCUUGACGGUACCUAACCAGAAAGCCACGGCUAACUACGUGCCAGCCGCCGCCGUAA